rnacentral:rRNA from 1 species
UACGAAGGGGGCUAGCGUUGCUCGGAAUCACUGGGCGUAAAGCGCACGUAGGCGGACUCUUAAGUCGGGUGUGAAAUCCCUCGGCCCAACCGAGGAACUGCGCCCGAGACUGCUUCUCUUGAGUCCCGGAGAGGAAGAUGGAAUUCCCGGUGUAGCGGUGAAAUGUGUAGAGAUCGGGAGGAACACCGGUGGCGAAGGCGGUCUUCUGGACGGUGACUGACGCUGAGGCGCGAAAGCGUGGGGAGCAAACGGG